rnacentral:rRNA from 1 species
AUUGAACGCUGGCGGCAUGCUUUACACAUGCAAGUCGAACGGUAACAGGCCGCAAGGUGCUGACGAGUGGCGAACGGGUGAGUAAUGCAUCGGAACGUGCCCAGUCGUGGGGGAUAACGCAGCGAAAGCUGCGCUAAUACCGCAUACGAUCUAUGGAUGAAAGCGGGGGACCGUAAGGCCUCGCGCGAUUGGCGCGGCCGAUGUCAGAUUAGGUGGUUGGUGGGGUAAAGGCUCACCAAGCCGACGAUCUGUAGCUGGUCUGAGAGGACGACCAGCCACACUGGGACUGAGACACGGCCCAGACUCCUACGGGAGGCAGGAGUGGGGAAUUUUGGACAAUGGGGGCAACCCUGAUCCAGCAAUGCCGCGUGCAGGAAGAAGGCCUUCGGGUUGUAAACUGCUUUUGUACGGAACGAAACGGCUCUGGUUAAUACCCGGGGCUAAUGACGGUACCGUAAGAAUAAGCACCGGCUAACUACGUGCCAGCCGCCGCCGUAACAC